rnacentral:rRNA from 1 species
CAGCAACAGCCGCGGUAAUACGAAGGGGGCUAGCGUUGCUCGGAAUUACUGGGCGUAAAGCGUGCGUAGGCGGUUUGUUAAGUCUGCUGUGAAAUCCCCGGGCUCAACCUGGGAACGGCAGUGGAUACUGGCAAGCUAGAGUGUGUCAGAGGAUGGUGGAAUUCCCGGUGUAGCGGUGAAAUGCGUAGAGAUCGGGAGGAACAUCAGUGGCGAAGGCGGCCAUCUGGGACAACACUGACGCUGAGGCACGAAAGCGUGGGAGCAAACAGGAUUAGAUACCCGCGUAGUCCCUGUCUCUUAUACA